GGAGAGGUGGCAGAGUGGUUGAAUGUACCUGACUCGAAAUCAGGCAUACGUUAAUAGCGUAUCGAGGGUUCGAAUCCCUCCCUCUCCGCCA
rnacentral:tRNA from 15 species